rnacentral:lncRNA from 1 species
AAUUGAAUUUUUUGGUGAGUGGGUGAUGAGAAAGUGAGGAAAUCUCUCUAAAAAGCUCUUGAAAGUGAAAGAAGAGUGUUAGGGCUUAGGGAGACCGCUCAGGCGAAAUGCAAAGAAGAGUUUCAAAGUGAAAAUUUCAAAAACCGCUCAGCUUUUAAGAAAAGCCGAGACCAAACACGCCGCAACCGCUCAACGGUAAAAUGGACCGCUUAGAGGUCUGCGGUAAUUUUCCCUUCGUCUUCUUUGCUUGCUUUUGAGCAAUUUCACCUUGUAGCACUCAAUUUCAACCUUCAAAUUUUCAAUUAUAUGUAUUUCCCCUCUCAAAUGCAACAUUUAACAUGCAAUGCACUCAACAUAACAUUAAAU